rnacentral:rRNA from 1 species
GCGCGAAAACUUUACAAUGCUGGCAACAGCGAUAAGGGAACCUCGAGUGCCAGGUUACAAAUCUGGCUGUCGAGAUGCCUAAAAAGCAUUUCAUAGCAAGGGCCGGGCAAGACCGGUGCCAGCCGCCGCGGUAACACCAGCGGCUCGAGUGGUAACCGUUAUUAUUGGGUCUAAAGGGUCUGUAGCCGGCCGGAUAAGCCUCUUGAGAAAUCUGGCAGCUUAACUGUCAGGCUUUCAGGAGAUACUGUCUGGCUCGAGGCCCGGAGAGGUGAGAGGUACUUCAGGGGUAGGGGUGAAAUCUUGUAAUCCUUGAAGGACCACCAGUGGCGAAGGCGUCUCACCAGAACGGACCUGACGGCAAGGGACGAAAGAUAGGGGCACGAACC